CUUGAUGUUGAUCGCAGUUGGUUUUCAAGGAGUGCUGGCUUCAUCGUGCUGGGUCGCGUGACCAGCACCUGCUUUGGGAGCAGGGGGUCGGCGGUUCAAAUCCGCCCAUCCCGA
rnacentral:tRNA from 1 species